UACGGAGGGUGCGAGCGUUGUCCGGAAUCACUGGGCGUAAAGGGCGCGUAGGUGGCCUGUGGAAGUCUGCGGUGAAAGCCCGGCGCUCAACGCCGGGUCGGCCGUGGAUACUCUCGGGCUUGAGCUUACUAGAGGCAGAUGGAAUUCCGGGUGUAGCGGUGGAAUGCGUAGAGAUCCGGAGGAAGACCGGUGGCGAAGGCGGCCUGCUGGGCAGUUACUGACACUGAGGCGCGACAGCGUGGGGAGCAAACAGG
rnacentral:rRNA from 1 species